rnacentral:rRNA from 1 species
UACGUAGGGGGCAAGCGUUGUCCGGAAUCAUUGGGCGUAAAGAGCGUGUAGGCGGCUCGGUAAGUCCGCUGUAAAAGUCCAGGGCUCAACCCUGGAAAGCCGGUGGAAACUGUCGAGCUAGAGUCCGGAAGAGGCGAGUGGAAUUCCUGGUGUAGCGGUGAAAUGCGCAGAUAUCAGGAGGAACACCGAUGGCGAAGGCAGGUCUCUGGGCCACUACUGACGCUGAGAAGCGAAAGCAUGGGGAGCGAACAGG